rnacentral:lncRNA from 1 species
UGAAUUUAAUCCCCAGUACCUAAAUAAAUACAUAAAUAAAUAAAAAUUUGAGAGGGGACAUCUGCCCUGUACUUUGGAAGGAAUAUUCCUUUAACCCAUUCUUUUUUUCUGUAUUAACUUAGAGGUGGAAUGUUUUAAGAUUUAUAUUAAUAAAGAAAAGGAAAUUAAAACCUGUGUAACAAAAUAAAUAGAUUCUCAAGUUGGUGUAAAUCAUAGAUAGGAGAAAGCUGUAAGUUCUUGAGAGAUAAAAUGGCUAAAUCAUUAUUUGAACUGGUAUUUUGUGGUAUAGGUAUCAGCUAAUUUUUCAAACCCAUGAAAGAUGUAAAGAAUUCUCUAGAAAUUAGGUCAAAGCCAUAGAUAAGGGAACUAAGUAAUUUAUUAAUGAGACCAGGAGACUCCUGUGAGGGGAAAAGCAGUAUCAGGAAUAAUUAUGCACUGGUAUUGUUCUGGGGGUGGAAAAUGAGACUUCUGGUCACCCUAGUUCUGGUCCUCAAUAGUGGUUCACAGUUUACAUGAUUCAAGGUGAAAUCAAAUGCGAAAGUAAGGUAUUUCCUCCUGGUCUGGCAUAUUAGUGGAAGGAUUGUUUUGUUAUAUAAAAUACAGGUGGUUCAAGGUCCUAAAAAUGCCAAAAUGAAAUUGUCUUCGUGGUUAGGCAUUUCUGGUUGCUUUUCAGGUCAAGGUGAUGGUGUUUGGAGACCAUGCUGAGUGGAUUCAAGGCUCAGCCACGUAGGUCCUUAAUGACUUCAGUGUGGGUUUUUAAUCUCCUGCCCAAGUGUUAUCAGACUUGCCCAGACAAGCCGUUCACCACAACAGGAGAGUGUGGGAAAAUUAACACUGCCCCAGGAACCUGGGUAGGAAUAAAGUGUCUGAAGGUGGAAAUGAAUUGCGGUAGGAUUUAUUUUAAUGCAGUCUGG